UACGGAGGGUGCGAGCGUUGUCCGGAAUCACUGGGCGUAAAGGGCGCGUAGGCGGCGCGGAUAGUCGGCGGUGAAAGCCCGGAGCUCAACUCCGGGUCGGCCGUCGAUACUUCCGGGCUUGAGCACUGUAGAGGCAGAUGGAAUUCCGGGUGUAGCGGUGGAAUGCGUAGAGAUCCGGAAGAACACCAGUGGCGAAGGCGGCUGUCUGGUCCGGUUCUGACGCUGAGGCGCGAAAGCGUGGGGAGCAAACAGG
rnacentral:rRNA from 1 species